GAUGAACGCUGGCGGCGUGCCUAAUACAUGCAAGUCGAGCGAACGGACGAGAAGCUUGCUUUUCUGAUGUUAGCGGCGGACGGGUGAGUAACACGUGGAUAACCUACCUAUAAGACUGGGAUAACUUCGGGAAACCGGAGCUAAUACCGGAUAAUAUUUUGAACCGCAUGGUUCAAAAGUGAAAGACGGUGUUGCUGUCACUUCUAGAUGGAUCCGCGCUGCAUUAGGUAGUUGGUAAGGUAAAGGCUUACCAAGGCAACGAUGCAUAGCCGACCUGAGAGGGUGAUCGGCCACACUGGAACUGAGACACGGUCCAGACUCCUACGGGAGGCAGCAGUAGGGAAUCGUCCGCAAUGGGCGAAAGCCUGACGGAGCAACGCCGCGUGAGUGAUGAAGGUCUUCGGAGCGUAAAACUCUGUUAUUAGGGAAGAACGUAUGUGUAAGUAACUGUGCACAUCUUGACGGUACCUAAUCAGAAAGCCACGGCUAACUACGUG
rnacentral:rRNA from 1 species